UUAUUAAUUUUUUAAAAAAGAAUCUAUUGUUGAUGCGUUUGUUGUUAGUUAACGGCAAGUUUAUUGAGCACCUAUUACACUCGACGUCCGCGGAAUGCAAAAAUCAAAGUGAGCAUCGCUUGCCAUGGUCCCCACAAGAGGUUACGGAGAAGCGAGAGCGCCACGGACAGGGCAGUGUCUCCUUAAAAUCCAGCCCAGCGAGUGGCCCCGCCAAGGCCGCAGAUCCGCUGAGAACAGGGGUGGCCGACCUGAUGCGUUGCUGAGCCUAACCGUCCUGUCCACCACCGUCCAUUUGAGUUCGACCUUGGCGUCGUGUUCUGCCAGCAGUCCAAGACCUUCUGUGUCCCUGGCUUGGAUGGACAUGCCUGGCUGGUUCUAAAGCAAGCCUCUGUCACUAAAGGCUCUGCUGUUAGAAGGAGCUAGACUGAAAGACUAGCCUCUAUUUCACAGCCAAUUUGGGGUGAAACAUUUCAUCAUUCCAAACUUUUGGAAAACACCGAAUACUCUUCUCCAGCCCCACGCCCGCCCCUUGGGUGAUGAUGGCAUCAAGGGGUCCAGCCUAGACUCCACCAGCCCCACCCUGGCUGGGAAGGGCCCAGCCCUCCACAGGCACUGGUCUACACCCGCUGCUUCAUCUCCAGGCGGACUCCGGAGAAGAGAGGCUCUCGGCCAC
rnacentral:lncRNA from 1 species